UUUCAUCGGUUCAAUUUUAUUUCCCACAUCGUGUAAGUAAAUGUUUAAUUUCAAUUUAAUAAAAUUUCAUAUUAGUACUUGGAUUUUUGUUUUUAAUACCUAUUUAUUUGUAUUGGAUAUUCAGUGGGAAGAAUCACAAUUAUGAAAUUAUUUUUAUUUUGUUGUAAAUUUAUCAAGUGAAAUCUACAAUUCAACAGAGAUUAUCCUGAAAAUUGAAAAUAUACUAGUCUUAAAAACAGUGUGAUGAAAAAUAUUACUCAACAAUAAAUUUUAUUUCAAUUAAUUUGUACAAG